AUAGACUACUCAUACCAAUAAGUAAUUCCUUUUUUUUCGGGAGCCCAUUCAAACAAAACUCCCAAGUUAAGCAUGCUCGGCUUGGAGUUGUUCUAGGAUGGGUGACCGUCCAGGAAGUCACGGAGUUUCGUCAAUA
rnacentral:rRNA from 1 species